rnacentral:rRNA from 1 species
GGAAAAGAAACUUACGAGGAUUCCCCUAGUAACGGCGAGCGAACCGGGAAUAGCCCAACUUGAGAAUCGGGCGACCAUGUCGCUCGAAUUGUAGUCUG